AGUGGCGAACGGGUGAGUAACGCGUGAGUAACCUGCCCUGGGAGUGGGGGGACAACAGUUGGAAACGACUGCUAAUACCGCAUAAGCCCACGGAUCCGCAUGGAUCUGCGGGAAAAGGAUUUAUUCGCUUCAGGAUGGACUCGCGUCCAAUUAGCUAGUUGGUGAGGUAACGGCCCACCAAGGCGACGAUUGGUAGCCGGACUGAGAGGUUGAACGGCCACAUUGGGACUGAGACACGGCCCAGACUCCUACGGGAGGCAGCAUG
rnacentral:rRNA from 1 species